GACGAACGCUGGCGGCGUGCUUAACACAUGCAAGUCGAGCGGAAAGGCCCUUCGGGGUACUCGAGCGGCGAACGGGUGAGUAACACGUGAGCAACCUGCCCUAGGCUUUGGGAUAACCCCGGGAAACCGGGGCUAAUACCGAAUAUGACCACCGGUCGCAUGGUUGGUGGUGGAAAGUUUUUCGGCCUGGGAUGGGCUCGCGGCCUAUCAGCUUGUUGGUGGGGUAAUGGCCUACCAAGGCGACGACGGGUAGCCGGCCUGAGAGGGCGACCGGCCACACUGGGACUGAGACACGGCCCAGACUCCUACGGGAGGCAGCAGUGGGGAAUAUUGCACAAUGGGCGGAAGCCUGAUGCAGCGACGCCGCGUGAGGGAUGACGGCCUUCGGGUUGUAAACCUCUUUCAGCAGGGACGAAGCGCAAGUGACGGUACCUGCAGAAGAAGCACCGGCCAACUACGUGCCAGCCGCCGCCGUAA
rnacentral:rRNA from 1 species